rnacentral:rRNA from 1 species
UACGUAGGGACCAAGCGUUGUUCGGAUUUACUGGGCGUAAAGGGCGCGUAGGCGGCAAUUCAAGUCAUCUGUGAAAUCUCCGGGCUUAACCCGGAACGGUCAGAUGAUACUGCUUUGCUAGAGUGCGGAAGGGGCAAUCGGAAUUCUUGGUGUAGCGGUGAAAUGCGUAGAUAUCGCUUGGAACGCCAACGGUGAAAACAGGUUGCUGGGGGUGUGCUGACGCUGAGACACGAAAGCCAGGGGAGCGAACGGG